AAAUCUCUAUUUGAAAUGUUGAUUCUGAUGGGAAAACAAAACAUACUUCUGAAUGGACAUGAAGUUGAUGAAAUCCCAGAAGGUCUCUUUACUCCAGAUAACUUUCAAGCGCUGCUGGAGUGCCGGAUAAAUUCUGGUGAAGAGGUUCUGAGAAAGCAGUUUGAGACAACAGCAGUUAAAACGUUGUUUUGUUCCAAAACACAGCAGAGGCAGUUCCAGAGAUCUGUGAGAGCUGUAUUCGAGAAGAAACUCUCAGAGAAGUGAGAGAUUCACACUUCUUUUCCAUGAUCGUUGACGACGUAGUGGACAUAGCAGGGUAAGAGCACCUACCUGUGUUGGUGAGGUUUGUUGAUGAAUCUCAUAACCUAAGAGAGGAAUUUGUAGGCUUCCUGCCUUAUGAAGCUGAAGCAGAAAUUUUGGCUGUGAAAUUUCACACUAUGAUAACUGAGAAGUGGGGAUUAAAUAUGAAGUAUUGUCGUAACCAGGCUUACAUUGUGUCUAGUGGAUUUUCUUCCAAAAUGAAAAGUGUUGCUUCCAGACUAUUAGAGAAAUAUCCCCAAGCUAUCUACACAAUCUGCGCUUCCUGUGCCAAAUAUGUGGUUGGCAAAAUCAGUACCUGUUAUGGGAGUAUCCGUUGCAUUAGGAACAAUUGAGGAAGUGUGUUUUUUUCAUCGAUCACCACAAUUACUUUUAGAACUUGACAGUGUAAUUUCUGUUUUUUUCCAGAACAGUAAAGAAAGGGGCAAAGAACUGAAGGAAAUCUGCCAUUAUCAGUGGACAGGCAGGCAUGAUGUUUUUGAAAUUUUAGUGGAACUCCUGCAAGCACUUGUUUUAGGUUUAGAUGGUAUAAAUAGUGACACAAAUAUUAGAUGGAAUAACUGUAUAGCUGGCCGAGCAUUUGUACUCUGCAGUGCAGUAACAGAUUUUGAUUUCAUUGUUACUAUUGUUGUUCCUAAAAAUGUCCUAUUUUUUACAAGAGCCUUUGGGAAAAACCUCCAGGGGCAAACUUUUGAUGUCUUCUUUGCAGCCGGUGGCUUGACUGCAGUAUUGCAUUCACUCAACAAGUGAUGGAAAAUAUUGAAGUUUAUCAUGAAUUUUGGUUUGAGGAAGCCACAAAUUUGGCAACCAAACUUGAUAUUCAAAUGAAACUCCCUGGGAAAUUCCGCAGAGCUCACCAGGGUAACUUGGAAUCUCAGCUAACCUCUGAGAGUUACUAUAAAGAAACCCUAAGUGUCCCAACAGUGGAGCACAUUAUUCAGGAACUUAAAGAUAUAUUCUCAGAACAGCACCUUAAAGCUCUUGAAUGCUUAUUUCUGGUACCCUCAGUCAUGUGACAACUCAAAUUCAAUACGUCGGAGGAACACCAUGCUGACAUGUAUAGAAGUGACUUACCCAAUCCUGACACGUUCUCAGCGGAGCUUCGUUUUUGGAGAAUCAAAUGGAAACACAGGAGGAAAAAUAG